rnacentral:rRNA from 1 species
AGUGAACGCUGGCGGCGUGCUUAACACAUGCAAGUCGAACGGUAGCAGAAACUAGCUUGCUAGUUUGCUGACGAGUGGCGCACGGGUGAGUAAUAUAUAGUUAAUGUACCCCAAAGACUGGGAUAGCCACUGGAAACGGUGAUUAAUACUAGAUACACCUUCUUAUCACAAGGUAAGAAGGGAAAUGUCUUUUCGCUUUGGGAUCAGACUAUAUCCUAUCAGCUAGUUGGUGAGGUAAAGGCUCACCAAGGCAAUGACGGGUAGCGGUUCUGAGAGGAUGAUCCGCCACACUGGUACUGAGACACGGACCAGACUCCUACGGGAGGCAGCAGUGAGGAAUAUUGCACAAUGGGGGGAACCCUGAUGCAGCAACGCCGCGUGGAGGAUGACGCAUUUCGGUGUGUAAACUCCUUUUAUAUGUCAAGAAAAUGACGGUAGCAUAUGAAUAAGCACCGGCUAACUCCGUGCCAGCAGCCGCGGUAAAG